rnacentral:tRNA from 1 species
AGGAGAAAUAGCAUAGAUUUAAUGCGCUUCCUUUACACGGAAGAGACAGCAAAAAGCUUUUCUCCUG